AUGUCUGCUAUGGCUACGGCUUAUUUCUCUAACUUGUUUAACGCCGAUGCAACUCUCUGUUCGGAUCCGGUGAUUGACUUAAUUAAUGCCCGUGUCACUGACAAUAUGAAUGAUGGCCUGUGUGCAGAGUUCACGGAAAGGGAGAUAGCUGAUGCACUAUUCCAGAUAGGGCCCCUCAAAGCGCCGGGGCCGGAUGGUUUCCCUGCCCGUUUCUUUCAGCGGAAUUGGGCAGUCAUGCAAGAGCAAGUUAUUGCCGGGGUGAAGGAUUUUUUUCGCACUAGUAUUAUGCUUGAAGGUGUGAACAAUACUUCCAUUGUUCUCAUCCCUAAGGUAGAUAACCCCGAGAGGCUCACAGAGUUCCGACCUAUCAGUUUGUGCAACGUCAUCUACAAGGUGGUGGCAAAGUGUCUGGUAAAUCACUUGCGUCCCAUUUUGAAUGAUAUCAUUUCACCAGCGCAGAGUGCCUUUGUCCCGAGGCGGAUGAUCACUGACAAUCCACUGCUUGCUUUCGAGUGCAUUCACUUUUUUCAGCAAGAAAAAGACCCAAACAAAAGUUUUUGUGCUUAUAAGUUGGAUUUGUCUAAAGCUUAUGACAGGGUUGAUUGGACCUUCUUGGAGCGGAUGAUGCAAAAGAUGGGUUUCGCUCGCUGUUGGGUGGACUGGAUUAUGACAUGCGUCACCUCGGUGAGAUAUACAGUUAAAUUUAAUGGGACCCUCUUGGAUUUAUUCGCACCGUUGCGUGGGCUUCAGCAAGGAGAUCCACUCUCCCCGUUUUUGUUCCUUCUUGUGGCUGAUGGACUCUCGGCUUUGUUGAAGGAUGGAGAGGUAAAAGGUGAUUACACACCGUUAAAAGUGUGUCGUAGAGCUCCGGGUGUUUCUCAUUUGCUCUUUGCAGAUGACACCCUACUGUUUUUUAAAGCAGAAGAGGAACAGGCUCGUAAGGUACAGGAGGUGCUUACUAUGUAUGAGAAAGCAACAGGCCAAUGUAUCAAUCCAGCGAAGUGUAGUGUACUGUUUGGGGAAGCAUGUCCAGCAGACAGCCAGGAGAUGAUCCGAAAUGUUUUGCAUGUUGAUUUGGUCACUUUUGAGGAGAAGUACCUAGGCCUACCCACUCCGGACGGGCGCAUGAGCAGAGGUAAAUUUCAGAACUUGCAGCCAAGGCUUCUGAAAAGGAUUAUGGGGAGACACCCUGUCACUUGCAGGCAAGGAGACUAUGAUCAAAGCCGUGGCGCAGGCGAUCCCCACUUAUAUUAUGGGCGUCUUUAA
rnacentral:rRNA from 1 species